UAAAUACACUAUUAGUACACGAUGCUCAACAUUAAAAGAGGAAGAAAGAAUAAACUUCGCGCCCGCCGGGGACCCAAACCUUCUGAAUUUUUUAAUAAGUAUCUUCUGAGUGGUUAAAAAAAAUGAAUCAAAACUUUCAACAACGGAUCUCUUGGUUCUGGCAUCGAUGAAAAACGCAGCGAAAUGCGAUAAGUAAUGUGAAUUGCAGAAUUCAGUGAAUCAUCGAAUCUUUGAACGCACAUUGCGCCCGUCAGUAUUCUGGCGGGCAUGCCUGUUCGAGCGUCAUUACGCCCCUCAAGUCCCCUGUGGACUUGGUGUUGGGGAUCGGCGAGGCUGGUUUUCCAGCACAGCCGUCCCUUAAAUUGAUUGGCGGUCUCGCCGUGGCCCUCCUCUGCGCAGUAGUAAAACACUCGCAACAGGAGCCCGGCGCGGUCCACUGCCGUAAAACCCCCCAACUUUUUAUAGUUGACCUCGAAUCAGGUAGGACUACCCGCUGAACUUAAGCAUAUCAAAAGCCGGGGAAGAAAAA
rnacentral:rRNA from 1 species